rnacentral:rRNA from 1 species
GGCGGCGUGCCUAAUACAUGCAAGUCGAACGGCUUUUCUAUGGAAGCUUGCUUCCACUGAGAAGAUAGUGGCGAACGGGUGAGUAACACGUGGGUAACCUGCCCAUAAGAGGGGGGAUAACAUCCGGAAACGGGUGCUAAUACCGCAUAGUUUUCUUGAUCGCAUGAUUGAGAAAGGAAAGACGGCCUUUGUGCUGUCGCUUAUGGAUGGACCCGCGGCGCAUUAGUUAGUUGGUGAGGUAACGGCUCACCAAGACGAUGAUACGUAGCCGACCUGAGAGGGUGAUCGGCCACAUUGGGACUGAGACACGGCCCAAACUCCUACGGGAGGCAGCAGUAGGGAAUCUUCCGCAAUGGACGAAAGUCUGACGGAGCAACGCCGCGUGAGUGAAGAAAAGGUUUUCGGAUCGUAAAACUCUGUUGUCAGAGAAGAACAAGUUGGAGAGUAACUGCUCCAGCCUUGACGGUAUCUGACCAGAAAGCCACGGCUAACUACGUGCCAGCCGCAGC